rnacentral:rRNA from 1 species
CCUCUGAUUCAGCGGCGGACGGGUGAGUAACACGUGGGCAACCUGCCUGUAAGACUGGGAUAACUUCGGGAAACCGGAGCUAAUACCGGAUAACUCAUGAGACCUCAUGGUCUUAUGAUAAAAGAUGGUUUCGGCUAUCACUUACAGAUGGGCCCGCGGCGCAUUAGCUAGUUGGUGAGGUAACGGCUCACCAAGGCGACGAUGCGUAGCCGACCUGAGAGGGUGAUCGGCCACACUGGGACUGAGACACGGCCCAGACUCCUACGGGAGGCAGCAGUAGGGAAUCUUCCGCAAUGGACGAAAGUCUGACGGAGCAACGCCGCGUGAGCGAUGAAGGCCUUCGGGUCGUAAAGCUCUGUUGUUAGGGAAGAACAAGUAUCAGUUAACUGCUGGUACCUUGACGGUACCUAACGAGAAAGCCACGGCUAACUACGUGCCAGCAGCCGCGGUAAUACGUAGGUGGCAAGCGUUGUCCGGAUUUAUUGGGCGUAAAGCGCGCGCAGGCGGUUCUUUAAGUCUGAUGUGAAAGCCCCCGGCUCAACCGGGGAGGGUCAUUGGAAACUGGGGAACUUGAGUGCAGAAGAGAAGAGCGGAAUUCCACGUGUAGCGGUGAAAUGCGUAGAGAUGUGGAGGAACACCAGUGGCGAAGGCGGCUCUUUGGUCUGUAACUGACGCUGAGGCGCGAAAGCGUGGGGAGCAAACAGGAUUAGAUACCCUGGUAGUCCACGCCGUAAACGAUGAGUGCUAAGUGUUGGAGGGUUUCCGCCCUUCAGUGCUGCAGCUAACGCAUUAAGCACUCC